rnacentral:rRNA from 1 species
CUACGUGCCAGCAGCCGCGGUAAUACGUAGGUCUCAAGCGUUAUCCGGAUUUACUGGGCGUAAAGUGUCCGUAGUCUGAUCUGUAAGUCUGUUUUCAAAUCCUACGACUCAAUCGUAGAAAGGGAGUGGAUACUGCAGAUCUAGAAGUAUCUAGGGGUUAGUGGAAUUUCCGGUGGAGCGGUGAAAUGCGUUGAUAUCGGAAGGAACGCCGAAAGCGAAAGCAGCUAACUAUAGAAUACUUGACGAUGAGGGACGACAGUUUGGGGAGCAAACAGGAUUAGAUACCCUGGUAGUCCAAACCGUAAAUUAUGCUUGCUAGAUGUUUUUAUCAGUUUACUGGUAGGAGUGUCGUAAUCUAACGAGUUAAGCAAGCCGCCUGGGUAGUAUAUUCGCAAGAAUGAAACUCAAAGGGAUAGGCGGGGGAACACACAAGCAGUGGAUUAUCUAGAUUAAUUGGAUAAUAAGCCAAGAAUCUUACCUAGGAUUGACAU